rnacentral:rRNA from 1 species
UUAGUCCUGGCGUCAGGAUGAACGCUGGCGGCGUGCCAAUACAUGCAAGUCGAGCGAAUGACGAGGAGCUUGCUCCUCUGAUUUAGCGGCGGACGGGUGAGUAACACGUGGGUAACCUGCCUGUAAGACGGGGAUAACUCCGGAAACCGGGGCUAAUACCGGAUAAUAAAGGAAAUGCAUAUUCCUUUUUGAAAGUUGGCAUCUCGCUAACACUUACAGAUGGGCCCGCGGCGCAUUAGCUAGUUGGUGAGGUAAUGGCUCACCAAGGCGACGAUGCGUAGCCGACCUGAGAGGGUGAUCGGCCACACUGGGACUGAGACACGGCCCAGACUCCUACGGGAGGCAGCAGUAGGGAAUCUUCGGCAAUGGGCGAAAGCCUGACCGAGCAACGCCGCGUGAGCGAUGAAGGCCUUCGGGUCGUAAAGCUCUGUUGUUAGAGAAGAACAAGUACGAGAGUAACUGCUCGUACCUUGACGGUACCUAACCAGAAAGCCACGGCUAACUACGUG